UGGCUCAGUUGGUAGAGCAUGGUAUUUGUAAUGCCAGGGUUGUGGGUUCAAUUCCCAC
rnacentral:tRNA from 1 species